CCUACGGGGGGCUGCAGUCGAGAAUAGUCUACAAUGGACGAAAGUCUGAUAGUGCAAUUCCGCGUGGAUGAAGAAGCAUUUCGGUGUGUAAAAUCCUUUUCUCUAUGAGCAAAGUCUUGAAGGUGAAUAAUUUUUGGGAUAAGAUAUUAGUAGAGGAAUAAGCCUCGGCUAACUCCGUGCCAGCAGCCGCGGUAAUACGGGGGAGGCAAGCGUUGUCCGGAAUCACUAGGCGUAAAGGGCAAGUAGGCGGAUCAGUAAGUUACGGGUUAAAUUUAGAGGCUCAACCUCUAACCAGCUUGUGAUACUGCUAAUCUAGAGUCAGGCAGGGGAAGACGGAAUUCCCGGUGUAGCGGUGGAAUGCGCAGAUAUCGGGAAGAACACUCAUGGCGAAGGCAGUCUUCUGGGCCAUGACUGACGCUCAAUUGCGAAGGUGUGGGUAUCAAACAGGAUUAGAUACCCCGGUAGUC
rnacentral:rRNA from 1 species